rnacentral:misc_RNA from 1 species
GAAGGAUCAGUCCAUCUCAUGAUUAGUCUUGCAUCAUGCAAAAAUCUGUAAAUAUUCUGAUUAUACAUUAAAAAUAUUAUAACAAUAUUUAGGGACUGCUUGAUUAAGUAGAUAAUUGGUUAGCUAGUUGCUAAAGUGGACCACAAUAAAGAUACCGACCUCUUAUAACUGACUUGUACAUAAGCAUAAGGAAUCUCUAAUACAGUUGUACAGAUAUGAAUCUGUCCUUUUUUUUUUUUUUUUCCUGUACAAAAUAUGAAGAACAAACCUUUGAAAAAGCUUACAUAUAGGCAUGACAGAUCCAUCACUACAAUUGACAGCAAUAUGAAUUUUGCUUCAAAGACCAUCAUAGUAACCUCCAUAAGUUAUGUGAGCUCUAGAAAUGGGAACUCCUCUUACUGUUGUAAUUGCUUCAUUGAAUUUUGUUGCAUGGUGAACCACUUGCUUGAUCCUCUGUAACAAAUAUUUGGGGUUCAUUAGCUCCAAGAAAUACCCAACACAAAAGUUAAACAUGUCAAGUUAUACUUGAUCAAGGAUUACACCGAGGUGAUGAAGGACUCUUGAUAAAGAAAUCAAAUUAAGCAUCCUAAAACACCAUCUAAAAGUCUACCCAAGUCAUCUAUGAAACUAGGACUAAAUAUGCACAGAGAUAUAUGCUUUAUAGAGAAAGAAUAAAUUUGUUAAUCUAAAAAUUUCCAGAAAUACAAGAAAAAGAUAGGUAGAAACCUUGUCAUCACUGAAAAUCUGGAACCUCAGCUUUUGGUUCUGUUGCUGCUGCUGCUUGUUUCUUUGUUGGCUUCCAAAAAUGAUAAUACAAACAGUAGCAGCUGCAACACCAAAGGAGCAAAUUGCUCCAAUCCCAUUCAAGCUCCACUUCCAUAAAUUCAAGCCACCAUUAUUCUCCUCCCAGUUAAUCUCCUCCACUUCCACAAUUUCUUUUUCAUUCUUGAUUCUUGGGAAACUAAUCUUGGUCUCCAAGGUCUCACCUUUAUCCUCAAAGUUAAACUUGCCAGCAUCAAUUUGAGGAGGCACAAAACUUUUGCUUGUUGGGGACUUGGGAGAGUCCAUUUUCAUGUCGACAAAUUCAUUUUCCUUCAUUUUCUUGAAGAAAACUUGGGAAACCGGAUCUUGAUCAGCUUCUUUUGAAGCUAUGUCAGGACCUUUGACUUCUGGCAUGAUCACAGAAGGCAUCACCCUUAUGUCAAUAGCCUUUGAUUUGUCCUCUUGAUCCUUACCAGUGGUGAUUCUUGUUGGUUCCAACUGAAAUGGAACUGGGACAAGUUGAUUAGGCACCAUCCUUGUGUUUCUUGGAGGUGAAGAUGGGCACACAAAGUAGUUCAUAUCGAACACACUUUUUGAAUUAGAACUGCGUUUGCUUGCUGCAAAAUUCUUUUUUUCACCAUCUUCAUGGUAAUCAAGAAAUCCCCCAUGCGGCAGAAUUUCCCAUUCUUCAAGAUCCAUUUCUAAGAGGGAAAAUUUUUUCCUUUUUCGAUCUUGGAAAUGGAAUUGGAACAAAGAGAUGGGUUGAUAUAAGAUGAUUAUGAACUAGGGGUUGAAUUAAUGAUCAAAGAAGGUGGGCUUUUCAUGGAGUGUUGUGUGGAAAUUUCAUUAGUAAAGAGCGCUAAUUAAGGCCACCGCAGCUUGGUGUCUUCUAGCGUCGUUGGAGUAUUCAGAUUGAAACCAGAGGCACGGAAGACAGACAGAUAUGAGCAUGAUAUGUGACAUGGUGUGCAUUCUUAUCCUUCCAAAAGGUGACAAUUAGGAGGUGGUCCAUUGGGACCCACUAAAGAGAAUGCCUUGUUCCAUGGUGUUCCGUCGGUUAUUUCUUUUCAAUUUUUAUAUCCUUUAAGUUUGAUUACUAUAAUGCUACUUUUGAUAAAUUUUACUUAACAG